ensembl:lncRNA
CUCCGGCCCCCAGCGCUACCCCCCCGGCGAUUCUUCUCCCAAGGUCCGAGACCCCCAUGAAGAGACGGGUGCGAGGGGCAGAGGGGCCACGGGAGGGGCUUCCAACGGGAUCAGCCCGGUCCCGGGCACGUCCCGGCCUUAGUGUGGCCCCAGGAGGGCCACAGGCUGUCGCCCCCCCCCGGGCCACCCACUCGCGGCUGUCCCAGCGCGGCCGAGCCCCGGGCCCGCUUCGCGUUUGCUUCCCCGAAGACCGGGACACCCCGACGGCACGGAGCAGCCCCGGCCCAUCUCCACAGAGUCACCACGAGCCGCCGUCUCCCCACGUCGAGGAACAGAGUUUAAAGGGAGAACUGCGGCGCUGGGGAAUGCUUUUGACCGCCGACCGGGGGGGUCAGCCCUGGGCCGGCUUUGGGGUCAGGGAAACCCGAGGAAAGCGGCCUCUUUGGGAGACGCGAUCCCCGCUUUCCCCUUUUGCUGUCGUCUUUCUGUCCCUCCCGUGGAAGCGGGGACACUCCCGCACCCCGCGGAUGGCAACGGAGGGAAACGAUCCUCUCCGAACUCCGCCGCCCCGUUAGUCUGCUUUCGGCCGCGACUUUCGCCGAGAAACCCAAAAGCGCUGAGAGCAGCACACCGUCAGUCGAGCAAAAACUUCAGCGUUUCGGAGGAGCUCUCAAAAUACAGCCCUACCUCCGCCCGCCGCCGAAACCGGACCCGUUAGAAGAGCCUGAAGCACCUCCGAACGGGACAGUGUGGGACGGAAUGCUCCGCUGGGGCCGAGAGGGGAAACUAUGGGGAUAACGCUGCUGAGUGCGGAGUCGGGGAGCGCAGGAGAGCGAUGCGGGAGCGCGGUGUGUUUCUGACAGAGUGCGGUGGUUUAUGGGGCUGGGAUCGUAGUGCGGAAAGAGGGAAAAAGGCAAGAAAAGAAGCAAGAAAAAAAAAAAAAAGAACCCAAGAAAAACAGAAGGAAAGAUGUAAGCUAAAAAGGACACCUUUAUUGCUGGCCCGGCUUGAGAUACGCAGCUCCGGGAGCGCCGCUGAAGCGCGCGGUGGCUGCGGGGUCCUUCGGGGAGGGGGUGCCCGUUUGAAACUCAACGCGGGACACGAAAAUAAAGGAGUGACGAUAACGAAAACGGUUCCUGAUCGAACUGUUCCGAUCCCGUUUUCAAACAGGCUGCGGUGUUUCAAAACGGGUCGGGAGCACACGAUAGUUCUGAAGGUGAAAGCUGUCCUUGGGAACAGGAGAGGGAAAGUAUCAGUCACACAGAGGAAGCUUCAGGGUUGAAGAAUUAGGAAAAACCUUGUAUGAAAAGCACACACAAAGAGGAGUGUUUUUGCUCUGUUUGUCUGCAGACCUUUGAACAUGAUGAAAGUCAGUAGUUCACAGAAUCAGAGAAUCACUGAAUAUCCUGAGACGGAAUGGACCCAAAAGGAUCAUCAAGUACAACUCCUGGCUCCACACAGGACCAAACAGAAUUCAAGCUGUGUUUCUAAGAAUGCUUUCCAAGUGUUUCUUGAAUUCCAGCAAGUAUGGUACCAUGGCCAAUGCCCUGGGAAGACUUUUCCAGACAACCUUCAUAUGAAGCAAUAGGGCUCUAGAUGGCCGAAGGACUUUACACAAGCAACAGAGGGCAACUGAAUGAGAAGGAAUGUUCCUCCAAAACUCGUACCAGUGCCCAAACUCCUUUUUUGCUUGUCCAAUUCUUUGUGGUGGCUGCACAGAGAACACAUGCCCCAGACAACACAGGGCUGAUGCCUAGACCCAAGCCAUUUGGAGGUGCACUGACUAAGUGCGGACAUCCCACGGGUGGGGGCGUGCUGCAGAACUCCCCUUGGAGCAACCUUCAUGAGAAGCUGAGCUGAAGAACAAGACCAACAUGAAUGCGGAGGAGGAGGAUUACAGCUGGUUUCAAUACAGAGAACUCCAAACAUUAACUUGUUGAGGUCACAUUAGCAUUGUUGGAAGCAUUUGCUGUGGGAGGAUGAAGGGAUUCAGCAAAAUGAACGCUCCCUGCAGUAAAGAUUAUGAGGUUCUUCAGGUUGGUGUUCUAAGGACUCUGACAAUCACAUGUGUAUUUUACGUGGAAAAA